GCAAAACCCAAUAAACAAAAUAUUCUUAACCCUGAGUUAUUUCAUGAAUCUGAAAUAUGUCAUAAUAUAAUUUUUACCAUCUACUCUUAAUAUCCUCGAUUGGGACACAAAAAGGCUCACACUGGAGACAGAUAGAUUGGCUAACUGACUGACAAACAAACGGAGGGCUUCGCUAUAUCUAUCAAUCUUUGUAGGAAUUGUAAUAAGUAGUAUCGUAUAUUCUAAUACUGUAUACCCAACAGAGCCAAUCAGCUCGUGUUAAAAUUUCAAACAGACAAAACCACGGGAUGACCUUUUAUCUGAGCUUAUAAAGAAGGAAAAAUUCAACAAGAGACAUUGCAAGGAGCCUGGGUGUGACAAUCAUGAUCAACAUUACAAGUUUGAUUCUGACAUUAGGAGUAGUCAGUAUUUGUUAUGGAGCCUAUACUGAGAGAGUUUUGCUGAUAUCCAUGGAUGGGUUUAGAUAUGAUUAUUUGGAUACCAUAUCUAACCUUACAAACUUUGGUUAUAUGAAGAGUACGGGAACCCAUGCUCCAUACAUCAACAACACAUUUAUAACUCUGACUUUUCCGACACAUUAUUCAAUGUCCACAGGUCUCUACUCGGAGAGCAAUGGUAUGGUCAGUAACUAUAUGUUUGAUCCCCUUGACAACACAAGCUUUGGUAUGGGUAAUGUCGAACCCAAGUGGUGGGAUGGUGGUGAACCUAUAUGGACCACCGUCAUGAAACAAAACAAAACUAGCGCCACCUUUUUCUGGCCAGGCUCUGAUGUUCCAAUUCAUGGUGUACUACCAAAGUAUUACUUUCCCUAUAAUAAAACAAUCCCAUUUGAUGACAGAAUUGAUACAGCUGUUAAUUGGCUGAAAGAAGGGAUUAACUUUGCAACCCUUUAUUUCAACGAGCCUGAUAAGCAGGGACAUGAUUUUGGGCCAGAAUCCAAUGAGGUCAUUGAAGCUGUGAAAUACAUGGAUGAAAUAAUGGGGAAGAUUCUGGACAAACUACGACAGAAUGACCUACUGGAUUCAACUAAUAUCAUAUUGGUGUCGGAUCAUGGCAUGGCCUACACCAACCGUAGCAUGAAUAUAGACUUGAGCAAGUACGUCAACAUAAGUACACAUAUAGAGAAGAUUGCCAACUAUGGGGCAGCCAUGAACUUCAUUCCAAAAGCUGGCAUGGAAGAUGCUGUCUACAAUAUCCUUAAAGAUGCCCAUCCUAAGAUGACAGCAUACAAGAAAGAGGACAUACCAGAAGAAUGGCACUACAAGAACCACCAUAGAAUUCUACCCAUGCUCCUAGUAUGUGAUGAAGGCUGGCAGGUUGUACCAGAUGAAUCCUGGAUCAGGAAUGUUCUCGGGAUGCAUGGAUGGGACAACAAUCUCAUGUCAAUGAAGCCAUUCUUCAUUGCACGAGGACCAAACAUCAAAGAGGACUUUGUGGCUGAACCAUUCAAGUCAGUCGAUUUGUACCCUCUGAUGACAGAACUCUUAGGACUGAACCCAGCCCCUAACAAUGGCACCCUAGAGAUCGUCAAGAGCUUCUUGAAGGACAACCCGGAAAUGACAUCAGUGACAGCGACACCACAACUAGCAACCACUCAAAGCUCAAGUAGCAAAAUAAUGACAGAGACUUAUAGCGUUGUUUUUGUUGCGACUACCCUAUUACUUCUUUGAGUUUAAAUUAUUUGAACAGCACAAAUAAAUGUAAAUCACAUAAGUUAAGAGUAUUCUUGAGGAGCUUGAGGAGUGUAAAACAACAAUAAAUCAUAUUUAAGUAGAGGUUAUUUUUCUACGAAACCUAAAAGUAAAAAUAUUUCACGCCAAUACUCUCCUAUUUGUAAACAAAGCAAGUCAUUGAUUUCACUUCACGUGUUCUUAGAAUAUGUGUGAUUUAUAUAAAUAAUACUUCCUUGUUAUCGUAAAAGGAUGUUUGAAAAGGUGUAAAAUGUCACAUUUUACAAAAGGGUAAAUAGUAAAUCAGAGUUGAUUUUCAGUCGAACAUAAUAAUUCAUUCCUCAAUUUGACAUUUAUUGCAUAAAUUAUAAGAACUAAUCGAUUUGAAGGAUCAUAAUAUAAUUAUAAUAAUCAACAUAUUUAUUCAGAUAAUUAUACAAAUCAAACUACAUUUAUUUAAUAAUUUUAAAGUCCUAUUUUUUUAUAUUGCAUUUAUGUACAUGCACAUCUUUUAAUGAUUGCACAAUCUUUUUAAUGAUUGCACAAUAUUUUAAUGAUUGCACAAUAUUUUCAUGUGAACAUUUAUGUCAUCAGAUAGACGAAUACAUAAUACUAUUUUUGUUGUAUAUUUAUAAAGCAGAUCUAAAAUUGAAUUUAUGUAUAAAAUAUAAUAUUGGAUAUAUGGUAUUUUAUUGUUAUGAUAUUUAUGAUAUAUAAGAUGUAAAAACGUCCAUCAAUUUAACCAAUAUCAAGGGAGAUUGGCUCCCAUGAUCCCCUAGCAUUUAAUAUAUAAUCAAACACUUCUAUCAUUCAUCAUUAAAGCGUAUUUCCAGAAUGUUUCAGAAUUAGGAAAUAUUUAUAGAAUAUCUUAGAGUUUGGGGAUUUGCCAUGCUGUUUGGCCGAUAAGAAAUAAAGAUUUAACAGCUGUCUGAACAUUUGGACUUACUAUAAUAUGUUUGGGUUAUAUGCUUUAAAACAACAUGCACCCAAAGAAUGGAGAAUGAAUAAUUUUAUAUUUUAUACAGAAAAAGAUGUUUAUAUAUCACUUACAGUAUAUUUUUAGAAAAAAUAGCUUAUUGAACAUUUCAAGCACAAGAGUGAGUUCAAUAUCCAUGAAUUGUAAUAGAUGUGAAGAUGUGAUAGAUGUGAAUAAAUUUGAAGAAAAUGAUUAGAUGGUUACUUGUUCAUACAGUGCAAAUAUGCCAAAUCAGAAAUACCAUUGAGGGAGACAAUCAAAAAUCUAGGAUUCUGUCUGUGUUUUAGCUGUUUGGUCAGGAAAGGGGCGAUUUGAUGCAAGCCAGGCCUGCAGUCAACAUUCAUCAAAAUGUCAACCACAUUUCGAUUAAUUCUCAAUGGAAAAGGGUUUGAAAUUGCCAACUUUGUGUAAAAGCCAAUUUU
rnacentral:misc_RNA from 1 species